rnacentral:rRNA from 1 species
CCUAACACAUGCAAGUCGAACGGUAACAGGUCUUCGGAUGCUGACGAGCGGCGAACGGGUGAGUAAUACAUCGGAACGUGCCCAAUCGUGGGGGAUAACACAUCGAAAGAUGUGCUAAUACCGCAUAAGAUCUACGGAUGAAAGCGGGGGAUCGCAAGACCUCGCGCGAAUGGAGCGGCCGAUGGCAGAUUAGGUAGUUGGUGGGGUAAAGGCCUACCAAGCCGACGAUCUGUAGCUGGUCUGAGAGGACGACCAGCCACACUGGGACUGAGACACGGCCCAGACUCCUACGGGAGGCAGCAGUGGGGAAUUUUGGACAAUGGGCGCAAGCCUGAUCCAGCAAUGCCGCGUGCAGGAUGAAGGCCUUCGGGUUGUAAACUGCUUUUGUACGGAGCGAAAAGGUUUUCUCUAAUACAGAAGGCCCAUGACGUACCGUAAGA